CAAUAAUGGUAGGAGGAGGCUGGGGACCUACCACCAGCACUUAUUAGGGGGACUCCAGACAGCGGCCAAAAAGCCCACUAAUUUGAGUAAGUGCCCAGAACUCAGCCGGAAGACCUUACCUGACAGCAGGAAGAGGCCUGGAGGAAGACAAGGUGGAGAGUACCGACCAGGAGGAGCAGCCCUGAGGAAACGCCCAGACUAGGGAUCAAGGGUUAAAAAUCCAACCAAAGAGGGACACUAACCCUGCUAUGAAAGCUAGAAUACGACAUAGCUGUUAAAAGCAGACUGCAGAACUACUGGUGGAAUGAACAUACCAAAUACAAUUAAAUUAUAAAGGAGGAGAACUGUGGGACUGUAUGAUUCAAAAUUCAUUUAUUCCCCUAGCCUCUGUUAUGUUUAAAAUUUAAUGGUUAGAAUGUGCUUGUUAGUCUUGAAAUAGUAGAUAAAAUCUGUAACAAAGCAAAGUUCCUGAGUAAAUCAUUCAACCCCUUGUUUGUCCAGAGAACGAAAAUUCCCGGACCCACUAUCGGUAGAACAAUCCAUCACUGAGUCUGCUGAUCAUCAGUACGUGACAGUCGUGACCAUAUGGUCGUGACCAUUACUGUGUGUCUGCUGACCGUUAGUACGUGACAGUCGACCACCAACCUUUGUUCCUUUUUUUCCGUAAAUCUACAUGUUAACCUCCCCCUCAACCCCC
rnacentral:lncRNA from 1 species